CCCUUAGAUGUUCUGGGCCGCACGCGUGCUACACUGAGUAAUUCAAUGGGUAAGGGAACGCUAGAGCAUUACCUAAUCUUGAAAUUUGCUCGUGAUGGGGAUUGACGGUUGCAAUUUUCCGUCGUGAACGAGGAAUACCUUGUAGGCGCAUGUCAUCAUCAUGCGCCGAAUACGUCCCUGCCCUUUGUACACACCGCCCGUCGCUCCUACCGAUUGAGUGAUCCGGUGAGGCUCUGGGACCUGGACGGAAAGAGCGUUUCGCUUGUUCUGUUUGGGAAACUUGGUCGAACCUUAUCAUUUAGAGGAAGGAGAAGUCGUAACA
rnacentral:rRNA from 1 species